ACAAUCUGUACAUAGUUAUUACAACCCGGAUAUGCCUACUAUUACAAUAUUACAAUAUUUACAUUCUAUUACAAUCAAAUAGAAGAGACGACUCUUUGCUGAGUAGAGCUAUAUGGUUUCGAACUUCAUUUUGUAGACCUGGAGCUCCUGAACACAAAGACAAACAUCAUUAGAGAUUAGAGUGUACACAUGCUAGGUCUAGCAUUGGUUAAAAAUAACUAAUAAUCACAUGACGAAUCUGAAUGCAGCAUAUAAAAAGAACUAGUUCAUUUCAUCAGUAUGAGAUCUAACUAUUUGCCACUCGGUAGAUAACCUACCAGGGAGGCCUUGAUAUAAACAGGGGUACGUGUAAAUAUUUGUGUUCACAGGCUUGAAUACAUCGCCAGGAACUGUAAGUACAGAACAUGUAACAUGGUGGCUAAAUAAACAGAACGAGAUGUGGCAUGCUUAAAAGUCCGAGCCCAUGCUAUGCCUAUAUAUAAUCAGGUGCAGCUUAAAUAUACGUGGGCACAUACUGAAAGGAACAAGAUAGCAUGAUGAUAUCCGAUCAACUAGAUUUGGGAGAAACCUGAUCGAGCCAACACAAAAAAGAAAUAGAGCAAGAUUUGAGCUGUACCUGCAGUGUGUUACUUAUGGUGGAACUGGAAGGAGACUUGCUCGGAUUUAGUCAACAUGAAUUGUAAGUGUAAAGCAGAUCAUCUUGGCUGUUACACACGAAAAGAAAAGAUAGUGUGUUUUUUAGACUGCACAGUCAACAACAACAACAAAUGUACAGAAUCUAUAGGUACACAAGCAUGUGUAGCAAGCAUUAAAAGUUCAAUCU
rnacentral:lncRNA from 1 species